GAACCUUGCAGUGCUGUGUGCUCCAUGUGUCGAGCGCCCAUCUCUGAGGAGUAAUGUACAGCAUGGCUAGUUCUCAGGCCUGCACACACUGGAGGCUAAGGCUGUAGCCACCGGAUAAAGCCAUCCUUUGCGUUUUGCCUCCGAUGCAUACGUCACCUGUGACUUCAGAGCCAGCUCACAAACCGCAAACAGGGAGACACAGUUGGACUAGGGCAGAAACACAGCGUGCACAUAGCACCCACUCUCUGUGUCCUGCACACUGCUCUCCUCCUCUCUCCUGCUGCUCAGAGUAGGUUUGGAAAACAGCCUGCCCUCACUAACCUGCACGCACGGGAGGGAGAUCCUGUCAGUCUGUAAACCCUGUGAGGGGCCAGAAAGUGCUGUCACCCCAUAGGCAGGCAAAGAGGCUGAGAGGCAGGGCGCUCAGCAAGGCUGUUACCACCUCGGGAGCCAGGCUCGAGCCCAGGGCCUUUACAGGAGUGAGGUGGGUUUCCGAGUUGACAGUUCUACCCCUGAGCUGUGUCCAUGCUCAUCAGUGUCUCUCUCCUAGGUCUGCUCACCGCAACUGUGGCGUCUCGCAUCCACCGGGCCGCCCAGCCAGCCCUCCUCUACUUGGUGCCAUUCACCUUAUUGCCGCUCCUCACCAUGGCCUACUUAAAGGGUGACUUACGAAGGAUGUGGUCUGAGCCAUUCCACUCCAAGUCCAGCAGCUCCCGCUUCCUGGA
rnacentral:lncRNA from 1 species